UCUGCCCUUUGGACUGGGAUAACCUCGAGAAAUCGAGGACAAUACCAGAUGAUGCAGCGGGACCGCAUGGUCAUGUUGUUAAAGAUUUAUCGCCAAAGGAUGAGCCUAUAUUCCAUCAGGUAGUUGGUAGGGUAACGGCCUACCAAGCCGAUGACGGGUAGCUGGUCUGAGAGGAUGGUCAGCCACACUGGGACUGAGACACGGCCCAGACUCCUACGGGAGGCAGCAGCAAGGAAUAUUGUGCAAUGGGCGAAAGCCUGACACAGCGACACCGCGUGAAGGAAGAAGGCUUUCGGGUUGUAAACUUCUUUGACGAGGGAAGAAAGAAAUGACGGUACCUCGAAAACAAGCCACGGCUAACUACGUGCCAGCAGCCGCGGUAAUACGUAGGUGGCAAGCGUUAUCCGGAUUUACUGGGUGUAAAGGGCGCGUAGGCGGGAUUGCAAGUCAGAUGUGAAAUGCUGAGGCUUAACCUUAGAGCUGCAUUUGAAACUGUGAUUCUUGAGUAUCGGAGAGGCAGGCGGAAUUCCUAGUGUAGCGGUGAAAUGCGUAGAUAUUAGGAGGAACACCAGUGGCGAAGGCGGCCUGCUGGACGACAACUGACGCUGAGGCGCGAAAGCGUGGGGAGCAAACAGGAUUAGAUACCCUGGUAGUCCACGCUGUAAACUAUGAAUACUAGGUGUGGGGGGACUAACCCCCUCCGUGCCGGAGUUAACACAAUAAGUAUUCCACCUGGGGACUACGGCCGCAA
rnacentral:rRNA from 1 species